AUGGCGGCUCCUAGCAGCAUCUCUCAUGGGUGGCAGCCGCGAUUGCUUCGUCGGCGGGCUUUGGUUCUUGACUCCAGCCCAACCUAUGAGGAGGUAGUUGUGAAAGUGAGAAGUGUGUUACAUUGGAUUGACCUAAAUGAUGAGGUUAAACUUACUGGAAGGUAUGAUGUUGGAGUGGGGGUGACGUCUUCAUUGAAGAGUACGCCUAUCACCUUGGAAUUGCAUUGGAAAGUGUACAAGGAUAAAGUAGAGCAAUCGCAAGACAACUCGCUUGAAUUAUUUGCCACCAAGGUUGAGGUUCCUCUAUUAUAA
rnacentral:rRNA from 1 species